rnacentral:rRNA from 1 species
GACGAACGCUGGCGGCGUGCUUAACACAUGCAAGUCGAACGGAAAGGCCCUGCUUUUGUGGGGUGCUCGAGUGGCGAACGGGUGAGUAACACGUGAGUAACCUGCCCUUGACUUUGGGAUAACUUCAGGAAACUGGGGCUAAUACCGGAUAGGAGCUCCUGCUGCAUGGUGGGGGUUGGAAAGUUUCGGCGGUUGGGGAUGGACUCGCGGCUUAUCAGCUUGUUGGUGGGGUAGUGGCUUACCAAGGCUUUGACGGGUAGCCGGCCUGAGAGGGUGACCGGCCACAUUGGGACUGAGAUACGGCCCAGACUCCUACGGGAGGCAGCAGUGGGGAAUAUUGCACAAUGGGCGGAAGCCUGAGGCAGCAACGCCGCGUGCGGGAUGACGGCCUUCGGGUUGUAAACCGCUUUCGCCUGUGACGAAGCGUGAGUGACGGGAAUGGGUAAAGAAGCACCGGCGAACUACGU